CCCUUAGAUGUUCUGGGCCGCACACGCGCUACACUGGCAGGUUCAUCGAGCUUCAUGUCCUGAUCUGAGAAGAACGGGAAAUCUUUGAACACCUGCCGUGCUUGGGAUAGAUGUUUGCAAUUAUUCAUCUUCAACGAGGAUUGCCUUGUAAGCGCACGUCAUCAGCGUGCAUUGAAUACGACCCUGUAUUCUGUACACACCGCCCGUCGCUCCUACCGAUUGAAGUUUUCGGUGAAUUUACUGGAGAUCCCUUUUGAAGGUGGUUCGCCACUGGAAGAAGUAUUCAAAAGUAAAUGAAUCGAAUGCUUUAGAGGAAGGAGAAGUCGUAACA
rnacentral:rRNA from 1 species